UACGUAGGGGGCAAGCGUUGUCCGGAAUCAUUGGGCGUAAAGCGCGCGUAGGCGGCCCGGUAAGUCCGUUGUGAAAGUCAAAGGCUCAACCUUUGAACGCCGAUGGAUACUGCCGGGCUAGAGUCCGGAAGAGGCGAGUGGAAUUCCUGGUGUAGCGGUGAAAUGCUUAGAUAUGACAUAGAACACCAAUUGCGAAGGCAGCUGGCUACGCAUAUAUUGACACUGAGGCACGAAAGCGUGGGGAUCAAACAGG
rnacentral:rRNA from 1 species